GACGAACGCUGGCGGCGUGCUUAACACAUGCAAGUCGAACGGAAAGGCCCUGCUUUUGUGGGGUGCUCGAGUGGCGAACGGGUGAGUAACACGUGAGUUACCUGCCCUUGACUUUGGGAUAACUUCAGGAAACUGGGGCUAAUACCGGAUAGGAGCUCCUGCUGCAUGGUGGGGGUUGGAAAGUUUCGGCGGUUGGGGAUGGACUCGCGGCUUAUCAGCUUGUUGGUGGGGUAGUGGCUUACCAAGGCUUUGACGGGUAGCCGGCCUGAGAGGGUUACCGGCCACAUUGGGACUGAGAUACGGCCCAGACUCCUACGGGAGGCAGCAGUGGGGAAUAUUGCACAAUGGGCGGAAGCCUGAUGCAGCAACGCCGCGUGCGGGAUGACGGCCUUCGGGUUGUAAACCGCUUUCGCCCGUGACGAAGCGUGAGUGACGGUAAUGGGUAAAGAAGCACCGGCUAACUACGUG
rnacentral:rRNA from 1 species